rnacentral:rRNA from 1 species
AUUGAACGCUGGCGGCAGGCCUAACACAUGCAAGUCGAACGAGUGGCGGACGGGUGAGUAAUGUCUGGGAAACUGCCCGAUAGAGGGGGAUAACUACUGGAAACGGUAGCUAAUACCGCAUCCCAUCGGAUGUGCCCAGAUGGGAUUAGCUAGUAGGUGGGGUAAAGGCUCACCAAGGCGACGAUCCGUAGCUGGUCUGAGAGGAUGACCAGCCAAACUGGGACUGAGACACGGUCCAGACUCCUACGGGAGGCAGCAGUGGGGAAUUUUGCACAAUGGGCGAAAGCCUGAUGCAGCCAUGCCGCGGGUAUGAAGAAGGCCUUCGGGUUGUAAAGUACUUUCGGCGGGGAGGCGUUACCCGCAGAAGAAGCACCGGCUAACUCCGUGCCAGCAGCCGCGGUAAUUC